ACGGGUGAGUAACACGUGGGCAACCUGCCCUUGAGACUGGGAUAACUUCGGGAAACCGGAGCUAAUACCGGAUAAUAUAAGGAACCUCCUGGUUCCUUAUUGAAAGAUGGUUUCGGCUAUCACUUAAGGAUGGGCCCGCGGCGCAUUAGCUAGUUGGUGAGGUAACGGCUCACCAAGGCGACGAUGCGUAGCCGACCUGAGAGGGUGAUCGGCCACACUGGGACUGAGACACGGCCCAGACUCCUACGGGAGGCAGCAGUAGGGAAUCUUCCACAAUGGACGAAAGUCUGAUGGAGCAACGCCGCGUGAGUGAUGAAGGCCUUCGGGUCGUAAAGCUCUGUUGUUAGGGAAGAACAAGUGCGAGAGUAACUGCUCGCACCUUGACGGUACCUAACCAGAAAGCCACGGCUAACUACGUGCCAGCAGCCGCGGUAAUACGUAGGUGGCAAGCGUUAUCCGGAAUUAUUGGGCGUAAAGCGCGCGCAGGUGGUUUCUUAAGUCUGAUGUGAAAGCCCACGGCUCAACCGUGGAGGGUCAUUGGAAACUGGGGAACUUGAGUGCAGAAGAGGAAAGUGGAAUUCC
rnacentral:rRNA from 1 species